rnacentral:rRNA from 1 species
GAUGAACGCUGGCGGCGUGCCUAAUACAUGCAAGUCGAGCGAAUGGAUUAAGAGCUUGCUCUUAUGAAGUUAGCGGCGGACGGGUGAGUAACACGUGGGUAACCUGCCCAUAAGACUGGGAUAACUCCGGGAAACCGGGGCGAAUACCGGAUAACAUUUUGAACCGCAUGGUUCGAAAUUGAAAGGCGGCUUCGGCUGCCACUUAUGGAUGGACCCGCGUCGCAUUAGCUAGUUGGUGAGGUAACGGCUCACCAAGGCAACGAUGCGUAGCCGACCUGAGAGGGUGAUCGGCCACACUGGGACUGAGACACGGCCCAGACUCCUACGGGAGGCAGCAGUAGGGAAUCUUCCGCAAUGGACGAAAGUCUGACGGAGCAACGCCGCGUGAGUGAUGAAGGCUUUCGGGUCGUAAAACUCUGUUGUUAGGGAAGAACAGGUGCUAGUUGAAUAAGCUGGCACCUUGACGGUACCUAACCAGAAAGCCACGGCUAACUACGUGCCAGCCGCCGCGGUAA